rnacentral:rRNA from 1 species
CCCUUAGACGUUCUGGGCCGCACGCGCGCUACACUGACGAAGGCAACGAGCUUUCCUUUACCGAAAGGUACGGGUAAUCUUUUGAAACUUCGUCGCGCUGGGGAUAGAUCCUUGCAAUUAUUGAUCUUAAACGAGGAAUUCCUAGUAAGCGCAAGUCAUCAACUUGCGUUGAUUACGUCCCUGCCCUUUGUACACACCGCCCGUCGCUACUACCGAUUGAAUGGUUUAGUGAGGCCUUCGGAUCCGCAACUCGUUUUGUGGAGAAGUUGGACAAACUCAGUCAUUUAGAGGAAGUAAAAGUCGUAACA